AAAGCUCAAAUUUGAAAUCUGGCACCUUCGGUGUCCGAGUUGUAAUUUGAAGAAGGUAACUUUGGAGUUGGCUCUUGUCUAUGUUCCUUGGAACAGGACGUCACAGAGGGUGAGAAUCCCGUGCGAUGAGAUGCCCAAUUCUAUGUAAAGUGCUUUCGAAGAGUCGAGUUGUUUGGGAAUGCAGCUCUAAGUGGGUGGUAAAUUCCAUCUAAAGCUAAAUAUUGGCGAGAGACCGAUAGCGAACAAGUACAGUGAUGGAAAGAUGAAAAGAACUUUGAAAAGAGAGUGAAAAAGUACGUGAAAUUGUUGAAAGGGAAGGGCUUGAGAUCAGACUUGGUAUUUUGCAAGCCUUACCUUCGUGGUGGGGUCCCCUGCAGUUUACUGGGCCAGCAUCGGUUUGGAUGGUAGGAUAAUGACUUGGGAAUGUGACUUUGCUUCGGUAAAGUGUUAUAGCCCUUGUUGAUACUGCCUGUCUAGACCGAGGACUGCGUCUUUGACUAGGAUGCUGGCAUAAUGAUCUUAAGUCGCCCGUCUUGAACAACCGGACCAAA
rnacentral:rRNA from 1 species